GACGAACGCUGGCGGCGUGCUUAACACAUGCAAGUCGAACGGAAAGGCCCUGCUUUUGUGGGGUGCUCGAGUGGCGAACGGGUGAGUAACACGUGAGUAACCUGCCCUUGACUUUGGGAUAACUUCAGGAAACUGGGGCUAAUACCGGAUAGGAGCUCCUGCUGCAUGGUGGGGGUUGGAAAGUUUCGGCGGUUGGGGAUGGAUUCGCGGCUUAUCAGCUUGUUGGUGGGGUAGUGGCUUACCAAGGCUUUGACGGGUAGCCGGCCUGAGAGGGUGACCGGCCACAUUGGGACUGAGAUACGGCCCAGACUCCUACGGGAGGCAGCAGUGGGGAAUAUUGCACAAUGGGCGGAAGCCUGAUGCAGCAACGCCGCGUGCGGGAUGACGGCCUUCGGGGUGUAAACCGCUUUCGCCUGUGACGAAGCGUGAGUGACGGUAAUGGGUAAAGAAGCACCGGCUAACUACGUG
rnacentral:rRNA from 1 species